CGUCUUCACUGGGGACGUAACAGGAUGGGGUGACAGGUUAGGUUAGGGUGGCAAGGAUGGGGUGACAGGUUAGGUUAGGGUGGCAAGGAUGGGGUGACAGGUUAGGUUAGGGUGGCAAGGAUGGGGUGACAGGUUAGGUUAGGGUGAUUUGAAUAGGGUGACAGGUUAGGUUAGGGUGGGUAGGAUGAGGUGACAGGCUAGGUUAGGGUAGAGUGACUUGAAUAGGGUGACAGGUUAGGUUAUGGUGACCAGGAAAGGGUCAUAGGUUAGGUUAGGGUGAUUUGAAUAGGGUGACAGGUUAGGUUAGGGUAGAGUGACUUGAACAGGGUGACAGGUUAGGUUAGUGACUUGGGAAGGGUGACAGGUUAGGUUAGGGUGACCAGGAAAGGGUGACAGGUUAGGUUAGGGUGGGUAGGAUGAGGUGACAGGCUAGGUUAGGUUAGAGUGACUUGGGAAGGGUGACAGGUUAGGUUAGGGUGACCAGGAAAGGGUGACAGGUUAGGUUAGGGUGAUUUGGAUGAGGUGACAGGUUAGGUUAGAGUGAACAGGAUGGGGUGACAGGUUAGGUUAGGGUAGAGUGACUUGAAUAGGGUGACAGGUUAGGUUAGGUCAGAGUGACUUGGGAAGGGUGACAGGUUAGGUUAGGGUGAUUUGAAUAGGGUGACAGGUUAGGUCAGAGUGACUUGGGAAGGGUGACAGGUUAGGUUAGGGUGGGUAGGAUGAGGUGACAGGCUAGGUUAGGUUAGAGUGACUUGGGAAGGGUGACAGGUUAGGUUAGGGUGACCAGGAAAGGGUGACAGGUUAGGUUAGGGUGGGUAGGAUGAGGUGACAGGCUAGGUUAGGUUAGAGUGACUUGGGAAGGGCGACAGGUUAGGUUAGGGUGACCAGGAAAGGGCGACAGGUUAUGUUAGGGUGAUUUGAAUAGGGUGACAGGUUAGGUUAGGAUAAAGAGUCAAAACAUGCAUCUUAACACUACACACAUACAUAUAAAUACAUCCGUAAAGACCCAUUUCCUUAAGGCUGAGUGGUUGGUGCUUGUAAUGUGGAUAUCUUGAGGAGCUAGGUCUGUUCAAUGCUGCCAGAUGGUCGUGUUCAGGAUCAUAUUGUUGCUUAUUCACACCCCAAACCUGUCUCUUCCACCCCUGUAACUGGUUUGAUAUAGAGUUAUCAUUAACCUGUCCGCUGCGAUUGGCACGGAUUUCGCCUUCACUGGUAGCCUGGUGACAUGCUCCCAGGUCUUUCUGUGCCUCUGUGGUGGAUAGUGGAGUGUUUCCCAUGUGGUAUUGGUGUGCUGGAUAUCCCUUCACUGGUAGCCUGGUAACAUACACUCCCAGGUCUUUCUCUGCCUCUGUGGUGGAUAGUGGAGUGUUUCCCAUGUGGUAUUGGUGUGCUGGAUAUCCCUUCACUGGUAGCCUGGUUACAUACACUCCCAGGUCUUUCUCUGCCUCUGUGGUGGAUAGUGGAGUGUUUCCCAUGUGGUAUUGGUGUGCUGGAUAUCCCUUCACUGGUAGCCUGGUCACAUACACUCCCAGGUCUUUCUCUGCCUCUGUGGUGGAUAGUGGAGUGUUUCCCAUGUGGUAUUGGUGUGCUGGAUAUCCCUUCACUGGUAGCCUGGUAACAUACACUCCCAGGUCUUUCUCUGCCUCUGUGGUGGAUAGUGGAGUGUUUCCCAUGUGGUAUUGGUGUGCUGGAUAUCCCUUCACUGGCAGCCUGGUAACAUACACUCCCAGGUCUUUCUCUGCCUCUGUGGUGGAUAGUGGAGUGUUUCCUAUGUGGUAUUGGUGUGCUGGAUAUCCCUUCACUGGUAGCCUGGUAACAUACACUCCCAGGUCUUUCUCUGCCUCUGUGGUGGAUAGUGGAGUGUUUCCCAUGUGGUAUUGGUGUGCUGGAUAUCCCCUCCCAAGAUGCAUGACCUCACAGUUUUCUUCACUAAAUUGUAGCAGCCACUUUUUGUUCCAUUCCUGUAGCUUGGUGAGGUCUUCUUGUAGGAAAUCCGCAUCCAUGGGGUUAAAAUCGUCAAUCAUAGGUGUUUCUUGGCAAUGGCUCAGAAACCAGUAAAAACGAUGCUCUGAGUACGACAAUGUGACACCGUUGGGUCUGUUGUGAGUGCCUUAGUCCUUCCCUUGUUUUCCUUCCUCCUUCCUUGACCUUUCUCUUUUUCUCUUCCUGCUCCUUUAACCUUUUCCUUACUCCACUGCCUUUCUUACUUCCUUGUUCUGCUUUCUUAACCUGUCCCUUACUCCAUAAUCCUGCUGCCUGCUCCCUUAACUCUUCCCUACUGCUACCACUACCACUACUACUACUACUACUACUAUUACUACUCUAUUUCUCCUCUUUUUUUCAUUCCUGUUUUCCUUGGUAGGGUCUUUUCAUGAUCAUUCUUCUUGUAACUAAUUCUGAAACUUCUCUUUUAUCUCUCCGCUCUUUUUCUGCUGCCUGCUCCCUUAACGCCUCCCUUUUUCUGCUGCCUGCUCCUUUAACUCCUCCCUUUUUCUGCUUCCUGCUCCUUCAAUCACUUAUUUUUCUCCUCCCUUAACCCUCCCCUAACUCCUGCAUUCUCCUCCCUUAACCUCUCCUCUACUCCCCUAUUCUGCACCCUCA